GCCAGGCACAGUGGCGCACGCCUGUAAUCCCAGCAAUUCAGGAGGCUUAGACAGGAGGAUUGUGAGUACUCAGCAACAGUGAGGUGCUUAGGAACUCAGUGAGACCCUGUCUCUA
rnacentral:sRNA from 1 species